rnacentral:rRNA from 1 species
ACGAACGCUGGCGGCUUGCUUAACACAUUCAAGUCGGACGGAAAGGCCCGUCUUUUGUGGGGUGCUCGAGUGGCGAACGGGGGAGUAACACGUGAUUAACCUGCCUUUAACUUUUGGAUAACUUCAAGAAACUGGGACUAAUACCGGUAAGGAGCUCCUGCUGCGUGGUGGGGGUUGGAAAGUUUAGGCGGUUGGGGAUUGACUCGCGGGUUAUCAGCUUGGUGGUGGGGUAGUGGCUUACCAAGGCUUUGCGGGGUAGCCGGCCUGAGAACGUGAACAGCCACAUUGGGACUACGGUAGGGCGCAGACUGCUACGUUAGGCAGCAGUGGGGAACAUUGCACAACGGGAGGAAGCGUGAUGAAGAAACCCCGCGUGCGGAAUGACGUCCUUCGGGUUAUAAACAGCUGCAGCCUAUGACGACGCGUGAGUGACGGUAAUGAAUAAAGAAGCACCGGCUAACUACGUG